AUGGAGGAGAAAAUGGCCAGCAGGAGCAAAGGGCUUCACGAGAUGGAGGAGAAAAUGGCCAGCAGGAGCAAAGGGCUUCACGCCAUGGCUGGGGAAACCGUGAAGGAGGACAUACUCCUCCUGCUCGACGACAUCCACGGCUUCUACAAGGCGGCGCUCGAUAGGUUGCCUGUACGGAGGACCCCCGCACUGGCUCCCUGCCUUCUCAAGGCCGGCGUGUGCUUCGGAUUCCUCGACCCAGUCUCCAAUAUCAUCCUCAACACCAUCGCCUACUCGCAGCGGAUGCCCAGCACCGAGAGUCAAGAAGGGGCUACUAGAAAAUUGAUCUUCUCCAAGAUCUCCACUGACACUCAGGAUCGCAGAAUUUUCCGGAUACUGCUGCCCAGACACAUGGCGAACGCCAUGACCAUCGCGCGGCUGUCGCUGGAAGGUCUGGUCAGCUUCCUCCUGUUCCACUUCCGCUACCUCGCGGAGACGGAAGCCCUGCGCUACCUGCGCCUGGCCAGGGCCGACCUUCUCGCCGCCGUGCAUCUCAUCAAUCGAGAUCGUGACAAGUCGUGCUUGGCGUCUAGCAUUGCCAAGAUUCACAACAGGCCCGCGUUCGACAUCUCAUCUCCUACCUCCAAGAUCGCCCUGGAGUGUGCCGCUGCCUCUGCGAGGCACCCUGAACCAGCCAUCCUGGUGAACGCGUCGCUGUCGGUGGUGUCUCGGCUGAGCAAGGUCUCUAACCUUUUGCAGAUCCACCUGCUCUACCUAGAGGCACUUUCUAAGCUGCCUAGGGAUAGCUUGCGCAAACAUCACCAUUGCAACCUUCUCAGGGCUGGUUAUUGCUAUGGUCUGAUGGAACCUGUCUCCAACAUCAUUUUCAACACCAUCUGGUAUGACUCUGUAAUCUCCACGCAGCAUGAGUAUGCGCUUGAUUUUGAGGUGGACAUGAUAUGCACCAAUGCCCUUAUGCGAAUUGAGUGCUGCUCCCUCUAUGGCCUUAUUGCCUUCCUCCGCCGCCUCUUCCGCCAUCUGACUGAGCAUGAUGCCAUCUGGUUCCUGCUCAAGAGCAAUGCUGAUGUUUGGUCAGCCAUCGACAUAGCAGAGCAACAUGGUCAUCAUAUGUCUGAUGUGUACCUCAAUGCCUUUAGGGAAGCAGCUGUUAAUUCAUGGCACCCUCACCCUAAAGCGCUGGAGAAAUUCAUCCUGGAAGCCCUGAACAUGAAUUCGACUGAGCUGUCAUUGAUGCUGACCCAUGCAGUCAAGAACUGCAGAUUUGAGGGACUAACCAUGUCUUUGUCACCCAAAUCUUCACCUACCAAGUCAGAUGAGCAGGUUCAACAACUGGACAAGUUGGCCUCGAGUUCGGAGUUCUUAUCUGAAAACCAAAAAAUGUUCAUUUCAGAGAUUCAGAAAAAAUUUAAGGCUGACCAAAAUUUCUAUGUCAGGAAGGUCAAAGCUGCGUUGAAGAGCUACUCCCAGAAACAAGGGGUGCACUACGAACUUCAUGUUAUUUGUGGUGUGAAUCCUCGUGCGGUCAAGGGUGGAACUGCUGAUCUUUUUAAGAAAAAGGGCAAAUUUGAAUACUCCCACAUCAACUUUUGGGCAACACGUGAGGGAUCAAAUUCUGCUGCCACAGAUCCAGUACUGUUCUUCGCUGAAUGCAGCAAUGAUGAUGAAGAUGACAAGGAAACACCUCCCCUGUGCGUCCCAGUAUUUAGUUCUUGGAUAUCUGAUGGGGAAGCUGAAGCUAGUGAAGGAGUGAUGUCGUCCAAGACCCCAUCGACGGCGGCCAAGAGCGGCGGCGCGGGCACCAGCAACAGAAACAGUCUCAGCCGCGUGAUUCGGCCGGAGAGUCGUUUCAUCCCCUACAGAGCGGAGCAAAUCGAGGAGAGGACGCGGCUCCUCUCCAUGAUUGACACCUUCUACAGAGAGGCGUGCGACAUGCUCGUUGUGGAAGCGACGCCCGCCACCCGCGGCCGCUUCCUCGACGCCGGCGUCUGCAUCGGCCUCCUCGACCCCAACACCCUCGUCACCUCCGACCUCCACCCCGGCCUCAUGGACAACGUCUCGGAGGAUACCAAGCCGGGAGAGAUGGCCAAGCGCUCACUCGAUGGCCUCGUGGCCUUCCUGAUCUACUUCUUCUCGUACCUCGCCGGGUGGGAGGCCGUGCGAUACCUGCUGGUCGCCGACGCCGACCUCCUCGUCGCUGCGCGCCUGAUAGUGGCGGACCGCGGCAUGAUGGGGUUCUCGGUCAUGUCACUGGCAUCAGUGGCAGCCUUCGAGGCGGCCCUCAGGUUGGCUGCGCAGGUCGCCAAGCACUCUCAGCCGGAACGCCUCGUCAGUGUUUGGAUGUCGCUGUCCUCCCAACUGCAACAGGUCCUCAGUUUCCUCUCGGUGAUGCAGACACAGACACAGGGUAUGAACAUCCAAAUGUUGCUUGGUGGACGGUCGCUUCCCGACCCGGGGAAAGCUUGGAACCUUGCAGCUUCUCGGCCACCUCACAGCAACAUUGCCGAUAUGCCAUACGAAGCCACCCGGUCUCUGAGGAUGGCGCUUCUCGACACAAUUCGCAUCUUCUACCUGCGAGCCCUGGCAAGGCUGCCGCGUGCAGAGCUGCGCACUCGCUACCACCGCAGCAUGCUCAUGGCCGGUUACUGCUACGGCCCCUUCGACCCCGUCUCCAACAUCAUUGUCAACAUGAUAUGGUACGAUGUCAUGUUCGCAGCACCCCAUCCACCGGUGUUGGACAUGAUCGGCCCCAAAAGCCUUACCCGAUUGGAGAGCCGCUCCUUUUAUGGUCUUGCCUCAUUCCUCCAAACCCGCUACCACGAUUUGUCGGAGCACCAACUGGUGCAAUGCCUAGUUGCCUCCUGUGCUCACCUGUCCGUGGCUGAUCCAAACUUUGAUGUGGCGUUUGCUUACCAUCCUUUUGUUGAUCCCAACAUUAGUGCUGCUGCAUCUGCUGGUGCUAAGAUGGAGGCGAUACGCCGGCAACAAGAAUGCAGGACCAGCGCACCAGGCAUCUAUGAUGCUGUCAGCAAGAUGGAGAAACAAAGGCCGUGCUCAAGUGCCAAGGAAGCCUACGAGGCUGCAGCCACCGCAGCAUGGCACCCCAACCCUGAGGCUCAUGCAGCAUUUCUCAGUUCAGUCGACGUGAUGCUGAACGGACCUGCCUUCCUCCUGCUGCAGAACGGUGACCAACUCACUUCCGAAAACGUGCAGUUCAUCGCCAGCUUAUUGUCUUCCAAUCAAAAACCUACUCCUGAACAAAUUAAAAAGAGGUACCGUGUUCCCGCAUUGGAGGCAAAGAUGCGUUCCGAGGCUAAACAAAGAAGAAUCGCCAAAAAGGAACCCAUGUAUGAUCUUCAUAUUAUCUGUGGUGCAAAUGAAUCCAUAGGCAGCCCUGAGUACUGCGCCGAUGUCCUGGAUGAUCUCCUGUCUUCUUCCCCAUGCAAAUUCCGUUACUCGCAUGUAAAUUUUUUGGUGACCCAGAAGGAUUCUUCAUCUGCAGAAAGAUAUCCCUUACUCUUUUUUGCUGAAUUCGAUAAUGAGGAGGAGGGUGAGCCCCUAUGCUGUCUUGUCGAUGUGCCAACGCCAUUUGCAGAACAUGUUCGGUGCCUGUAUUGUGAGGCUCAAGGGACCAAAAUUGUGCAUCCGGCAUUGGAAAAAUUUCAUGGGAAAGAAAGGGAGUUGGAGAGGGAGUUUGAGGAGGCUAUCUCUAAAGACCGUCAUGACCGGCUUAUCUGCACGAAUGAAUAUGCUGUUCAGCACUUGUGUGGAGUGGAGGAGGAUUUCAUGUACAUUGAUAUCAGGUGCAUCAGUUAG
rnacentral:rRNA from 1 species